rnacentral:lncRNA from 1 species
CACCUCUCUGUGUGACGUGGCUGAGGUACCAAGGGAAAAAAUGUCAUGCGACUUGCAGCUUCAUAGCCAGGUGAACUGGGGGAGUCCUCACUGCCACUGGAGGCCCUAUGGCCUCCCCUCACCUGCUGUGGAGGAAACCCCUGGCCAGCCUGUCCUUGGGCCUGCAGGACA